UGUGUACUCCCUCCGUUCCAAAAUACUUGACUUCCAUUUGUCCAAAAAUGUAUGUACCUAUAUACUAAGACAUGUCUAGAUACAUAUAUAUUUUGACAAAUAGAAGGCAUGUAUUGUGCAACGGAGGGAGUAGAAU
rnacentral:pre_miRNA from 1 species